CGAGGGGCAGCGGGUGGAGUAUUUCGGUACUCCUGCCGGCGACCGGCGCACGGGUGCGUAACGCGUAUGCAACCUACCUUUAACAGGGGGAUAAUCCGAAGAAAUUUGGUCUAAUACCCCAUAAUAUCAUUUAAGGCAUCUUAGAUGGUUGAAAAUUCCGAUGGUUAGAGAUGGGCAUGCGUUGUAUUAGCUAGUUGGUGAGGUAACGGCUCACCAAGGCUACGAUACAUAGGGGGACUGAGAGGUUUUCCCCCCACACUGGUACUGAGACACGGACCAGACUCCUACGGGAGGCAGCAGUGAGGAAUAUUGGUCAAUGGACGCAAGUCUGAACCAGCCAUGCCGCGUGCAGGAAGACGGCUCUAUGAGUUGUAAACUGCUUUUGUACGAGGGUAAACUCACCUACGUGUAGGUGACUGAAAGUAUCGUACGAAUAAGGAUCGGCUAACUCCGUGCCAGCAGCCGCGGUAAUACGGAGGAUUCAAGCGUUAUCCGGAUUUAUUGGGUUUAAAGGGUGCGUAGGCGGUUUGAUAAGUUAGAGGUGAAAUCCCGGGGCUUAACUCCGGAACUGCCUCUAAUACUGUUAGACUAGAGAGUAGUUGCGGUAGGCGGAAUGUAUGGUGUAGCGGUGAAAUGCUUAGAGAUCAUACAGAACACCGAUUGCGAAGGCAGCUUACCAAACUAUAUCUGACGUUGAGGCACGAAAGCGUGGGGAGCAAACAGGAUUAGAUACCCUGGUAGUCCACGCAGUAAACGAUGAUAACUCGUUGUCGGCGAUACACAGUCGGUGACUAAGCGAAAGCGAUAAGUUAUCCACCUGGGGAGUACGUUCGCAAGAAUGAAACUCAAAGGAAUUGACGGGGGCCCGCACAAGCGGAGGAACAUGUG
rnacentral:rRNA from 1 species